CAUGCGGGGGCGGGGCCGCGGCGACGCUGGGUGUGUGGACGCAGAUGGCGGCGGCGCAGGGCGCCUGAGCGGGCCGGGGCCAUGAGCGCCGCCCGGCCCCAGUUCAGCAUUGAUGAUGCCUUCGAGCUGUCCCUGGAGGACGGGGGCCCUGGGCCCGAGUCCAGCGGGGUCGCGCGCUUUGGGCCGCUGCACUUCGAGCGUCGGGCCCGGUUCGAGGUGGCUGACGAGGACAAGCAGUCCCGGCUGCGCUACCAGAACCUGGAGAACGAUGAGGAUGGAGCCCAGGCCUCUCCGGAGCCGGAUGGGGGAGUCGGCACCAGGGAUUCCAGCCGAACUUCCAUCCGCAGCUCCCAGUGGUCCUUCAGCACCAUCAGCAGCAGCACCCAGCGCUCCUACAACACCUGCUGCAGCUGGACCCAACACCCUUUGAUCCAGAAGAACCGCCGAGUGGUGCUGGCCUCCUUCCUGCUCCUGCUGCUGGGGCUGGGGCUGAGCCGGGCCGGGGGUGGGAGCCCCCGCCCUCACCACUGCUCCUGCCCCCACCCCCGCGGCUCCGUCUGUGUGCAGUGCUGAUCCUGGUCGGCGUGGGACUGGAGGCGACCCCCUCUCCAGGUGUCUCCAGCGCCAUCUUCUUCGUGCCGGGCUUCCUGUUGUUGGUGCCUGGAGUCUAUCACGUGAUCUUCAUCUACUGCGCGGUCAAGGGCCACCGGGGCUUCCAGUUCUUCUACCUGCCCUACUUCGAGAAGUGAUCGCGGCGCAGCGUGGACCCCUUGCGUCCAUGGGGGCGCCCCUCUCGCCCUGUUCCGUUCCCCUCAUCUCAAGGGAAGAGGCCCUCCAGGACCCUCGAAACCCCAGCCCCUAGGGAGUUUGCUCAGGAAGUUCGGGGCAUGCAGGCCUGGCCCUGGGAAAGCCGCCCGUCGCCUGCUCUGUGCCUUAACUUAUUCUCGGGCCGUGCGGCUGCUAGGUUGCUGUUAUUUUGUGCUAAUAAAAGAGUAAUUAAUUCCA